UAUUGGUCUGUGGUAAAAAUUCCAAUUUUAAAAAAACACCCGCUGAUCAAAAAGUUGUGUUUUGGCUUUGGGUUUGUUUUAUUAGUAUAAUUUCAAUUUUAACCAUGGUUAAAGCUUGGUAUAUGGACAACAAUACCAACGACCAGCGUCUGGAGCACCAUAGGGACCCUCCCAAGUUUAUCACACUCGAAGAAUUGUACAAAAAAACUGGAGUCGAAUAUUUCAAUAUAAAUGUGGAGACUUACACAACAGAUGGAGUGCUGGACAAAAUAAAAAAAGACAGAGGUUACACUUACGAAGAUGAAAUCACUUGCUCAAAGGAGUGCCUGCCAAACUAUGAGGACAAAAUAAAGUCUUUUUAUGAAGAACAUCUCCAUACUGAUGAAGAAAUAAGGCUGGUGCUAGAUGGGUCAGGCUACUUCGACGUGCGGGAUGGAGAAGACCAGUGGAUCCGCAUCGCAGUUACUGCGGGGGACAUGAUCAUCAUCCCUAGUGGUAUCUACCAUCGGUUUACAUUGGAUACUAAUAACUUCAUUCACGCAAAGCGGUUCUUCAUCGGCGAACCUGUCUGGCUGCCAUACAACCGCCCCGCAGACCACAUGCCUGCUCGCAAGGAGUACCUGAACAAGCUGCAAACGGGAUUUGUUGCUGCCCACUGAAGACACUUGCCUAUCUAUCAUAAUCAUCAUGAUCCAUGAUCCAUUUAAACACUUUCUGACCAAUAGAUUUGUUCAUAUAUGGAAUAAAUUGCUCAAGGAUGUGGUUAUGUCAAGCUAUGUUAACCUGCAAGUGAUAAUCGAUAGAUCGAGUUCGUUGCGCUGAUUUCGAAUCUAUAUCAAAUUAGAGGAUGCCCGCGACUUCGUCCGCGUGGUGGGUUUAAAGAUCCCGUGGGAACUCUUUGAUUUUCCGGGAUAAAAAGAAGCCCAUAUCCUUCCCUGGGAUGUAUCCCAAGUAUGUACCUUUCAUUAAAAUCGGUUUAGCGGUUGGGCCGUGAAAAUGUAGCAGACAGACAGACAGACACACUUUCGCAUUUAUAAUAUUAGUAUGGAUGGAUUAAAAUCACUGCGUUUGUUUUCGAUGUAAGUAUAGUACGCGACAGGUCGAGAUGGCAAUCGGAGUUUGACGCGGGGAGACGCCCCGCACACCUGCGACAACCAGCACCGGGUUAGCGUUGGGGCUGUGCGGGUGUGCGGGGCGUCCCCGCCCCUCUAAACCUAUUGCAUACUGUAAUGGUUAUGUAACUUAUAAAACUGGAUCACAGAAGCAUGUGGUGGCCAACGUGAUAAAAUUGUACACUCCUAAAGUAAUUGUUUAUAUGUUAUUGAGAUAUUUACAUUAGAAUAACAUUUUUAUGUAUUGGAAUAUUAUAUAGCGGUAAGUUUUUAACUAGUUGUAACUUGUAUAAUAUGUUAAAGGUUCAAUAAAAUGUUUUUACAGA